UGGGGAAUAUUGGACAAUGGGCGAAAGCCUGAUCCAGCCAUGCCGCGUGUGUGAAGAAGGUCUUCGGAUUGUAAAGCACUUUAAGUUGGGAGGAAGGGCAUUAACCUAAUACGUUAGCGUUUUGACGUUACCGACAGAAUAAGCACCGGCUAACUCUGUGCCAGCAGCCGCGGUAAUACAGAGGGUGCAAGCGUUAAUCGGAAUUACUGGGCGUAAAGCGCGCGUAGGUGGUUUGUUAAGUUGGAUGUGAAAUCCCCGGGCUCAACCUGGGAACUGCAUUCAAAACUGACUGACUAGAGUAUGGUAGAGGGUGGUGGAAUUUCCUGUGUAGCGGUGAAAUGCGUAGAUAUAGGAAGGAACACCAGUGGCGAAGGCGACCACCUGGACUAAUACUGACACUGAGGUGCGAAAGCGUGGGGAGCAAACA
rnacentral:rRNA from 1 species